ACCUUACCCAGGGUCUUGACAUUCCAAGAGUAACUUUCCAGAGUAUGGAUUUGGUGCNCUUCGGGAACUCUGAGACAGGUGCUGCAUGGGAUGUCGUCAGCUCGUGUCUGUGAGAUGUUGGGUUAAGUCCCGUAACGAGCGCAACCCUUGUCCUUAGUUGCUACCAUUAAGUUGAGAACUCUAAGGAGACUGCCGGUGACAAACACGGAGGUAAGGUGGGGACGACGUCAAGUCAUCAUGGCCACUUACGACCUGGGCUACACACGUGCUACAAUGGGCAGUACAGAGGGUUGCCAACCCGCGAGGGGGAGCUAAUCUCUUAAAGCUGUUCGUAGUCGGAUUGUACUCUGCAACUCUGAGUACAUGANGGUCGGAAUCGCUAGUAAUU
rnacentral:rRNA from 1 species